CACCAAACUUCAUUGUCGUUUCCGUCGGAGUUAUCAGCCAGGACCGGGGAGAGCUGAGAAAGAGCGAAGACAAUGGCUGGAUCUAAGGGUCACCGGAGAGCUGGCGGCGGUUUGAGGACCAUCACAUCGUCCGUUAUCUAGGGCUUCUUUUUUCGGUUUAAUUAUCUGGUUUCUUAUUUUAUCUGAUUGUACCUGAUUAACCAUUAACCAUUUUCGGUUUGGGACAAAAUUAAUAAUAAUAAUUUUUUAAAGAAAAUUAGAAUAAUAAAUUUUAAAGAAAAUUAUAAUAAUAAUUCAUUUAUUUUUAACUAUUUUUGUAUUUGGUACGAAAAAU
rnacentral:lncRNA from 1 species